rnacentral:rRNA from 1 species
GAUGAACGCUGGCGGCGUGCCUAACACAUGCAAGUCGAACGGAGAUUACGGACGUAAGUUUUCGGAUGGAAGCCUGUAAUUCUUAGUGGCGGACGGGUGAGUAACGCGUGGGCAACCUGCCCUAUACAGGGGGAUAGCAGCUGGAAACGGCUGGUAAGACCGCAUAAGUCGGUUAAAUCGCAUGAUUUGAUCGGGAAAUGAGCAAUCAGGUAUAGGAUGGGCCCGCGUCCGAUUAGCCAGUUGGCAGGGUAAAAGCCUACCAAAGCGACGAUCGGUAGCCGGACUGAGAGGUCGGACGGCCACAUUGGGACUGAGACACGGCCCAAACUCCUACGGGAGGCAGCAGUGGGGGAUAUUGCACAAUGGAGGAAACUCUGAUGCAGCGACGCCGCGUGAGUGAAGAAGUAUUUCGGUAUGUAAAGCUCUAUCAGCAGGGAAGAUGAUGACGGUACCUGACUAAGAAGCCCCGGCUAACUACGUG